UUGCGGACCCGAGACACCACGACUUACCCAACCGGGACCUCCUGCCAACCCGUUCCUGGGCUUUGCCACUCUACCCGAUCGUGAACUGCUGCUCGAAACCGGCGAGUUUCUGCGCCCGUGGGCAGAGCGAGAGCAGUCGGGCUAUGGGCCCGAGUUCUACGCCCAGCUGCCUGGCCAGAACGCCACCACCAUCUGCCGCCGCCUGCCUUCCCUCUUCAAACCGGAGCCACCGCACUCUGGUCGCCUGUUCAUCCACCGAUCCCAUCGACAUUGUGUGUGUGCAAAGUUCUUGGCCUCGGUCCAAAAUUUGCCCAAGUUACCAGCUGGACUAAACCGGAACUUCCCUGUCCGUCAUAAGUAAAGUGUCCAGAAGAGCCCCGCAAGAAGAUGGUGUGAGGAUGAACUCGGAAGGUUUAGAUGCCCUGUUAUGAUGUAAGCCCCCAACCUUCUAAGUUACCUGUAAAAUGUGUAGCCUUACCUAAAGAGUAAUUCAUUGUGUGUCAUACCAGCUGACAAAGAGGGUGGUUUUGCAGUUUUUUCCUUUAAAUGUUUCUUGGAAAAAGCCAGUCAAGCAAUUUCUGCAGUGUUCAAUGAGCGCAAGGAUGUAUCACUUAUGAAAGUAGCAGCAAAACCAAGUGAAAUUUACAGAAAGUUGAAUCUCGAUAAACUAAGGAAAAGCUCAGAGAUGUAAUUUUUAGUAAGUGCACAAGGAGGAUGUUCCUUUUCGGGUCAUAAUUUCCGAAAGGGGUACCUGGCAGAAGCAAGCUGCCCUGUACCUGGUUUCAAAGCUGAAUGUUAAAGAGAUUGAUGACCAGUUUCUUGUAAAAGGUUCUGACGAAUCCUUGAUUUUGUUAGGUUUCACGGCAAAAAGGGCUUCAAGGCCUUCUCAGCUAAGGUCAAAGAAUUAUAUUAUUCUAUCCUGCUCAAUGACCUUAUCCAAUGUGUCGAGGAUUGUAUUGACAAAUAUGGUGCUGUAAGGUUUUCACAGGAAGCAGGUUGUUUCAGUAGAAGGGUAUUUAGAAUUAUGGUGUUUUUACAUGUCGUCAACCUUUGCACAGUGGAACAAUAGGCUGAAUCUGCAGAAGAAAGGCAUUUGCAUAGGGUUGUGUCUGGCUCCCGUCUUUAGCAACCUAUAUUUAGCACAAUUAGAUAGGCACAUAUAUGACCACCUCACGGGACUAACAGUUUUUCAGCGAGCUUUUAGAUUUGUCAACAAUAUUUUAGUGUUUCUGGAUUUCCCUAGUAAUAGUUUUCUAGAAAAAUGUCCUGAUGUCUAAGAUUUCUUGCGAGUGUUUGAGACCUCUUGAAGUGACUUUUGAAGUGCAAUACGUUUCAGUUUCUUGACUUUCAGUUCAUCUUUACUGAUAGUAGGACUUGCUGGGCUUACAGUCCAUGAGCUAAGAAACCCCUUCUCCAAUUUCAAUCAGCCCAUUUGAAUUUGGUGAAGAGGGGCAUAACUAACUAAUAGGGAUGGCUUUCUGCCCACUACUGCGCAUGUGGAUGUAGGCCGAAAUUCAAAAAAUGUUUUAUCGUUUCAAAACACGGAGACCGUGUUACACGUGAGAUAAUCAAAGCGGGAGAAAUUCUAUGUUUAAAGGAUGGUUGCAUCAGCACCCCUCUAUCGCUCUCACUGACAAGGAGAUCAGACACCUCGGGCUAUCACCACGUUGAAUUUUGUGUGGCUUUGUCGUGGCGUUCUAAAUAUGGUUGGUGGGCUAUUGUGUGACUGUAUAAAUAGCGAUGCUUUCUGAAAAGAAAAUAAACAGUUGGAAGUUCA
rnacentral:lncRNA from 1 species